AUUGAACGCUGGCGGCAUGCCUUAUACAUGCAAGUCGAACGGCAGCAUGGAGAGCUUGCUCUCUGAUGGCGAGUGGCGAACGGGUGAGUAAUGCAUCGGAACGUACCGUGUAAUGGGGGAUAACGUAGCGAAAGUUACGCUAAUACCGCAUACGACCUGAGGGUGAAAGCAGGGGAUCGCAAGACCUUGCGUUAUACGAGCGGCCGAUGUCAGAUUAGCUAGUUGGUGAGGUAAAGGCUCACCAAGGCGACGAUCUGUAGCGGGUCUGAGAGGAUGAUCCGCCACACUGGGACUGAGACACGGCCCAGACUCCUACGGGAGGCAGCAGUGGGGAAUUUUGGACAAGGGGGGCAACCCUGAUCCAGCCAUGCCGCGUGAGUGAAGAAGGCCUUCGGGUUGUAAAGCUCUUUCGGCCGGGAAGAAAUCGCACAGGCUAAUACUCUGUGUGGAUGACGGUACCGGCAUAAGAAGCACCGGCUAACUACGUGCCAGCCGCCGCAGUAA
rnacentral:rRNA from 1 species